UUAACACAUGCAAGUCGAGCGGGCGUAGCAAUACGUGCAGCGGCAGACGGGUGAGUAACGCGUGGGAACGUACCUUUUGGUUCGGAACAACACAGGGAAACUUGUGCUAAUACCGGAUAAGCCCUUACGGGGAAAGAUUUAUCGCCGAAAGAUCGGCCCGCGUCUGAUUAGCUAGUUGGUGGGGUAAAGGCUUACCAAGGCGACGAUCAGUAGCUGGUCUGAGAGGAUGAUCAGCCACAUUGGGACUGAGACACGGCCCAAACUCCUACGGGAGGCAGCAGUGGGGAAUAUUGGACAAUGGGCGCAAGCCUGAUCCAGCAAUGCCGCGUGUGUGAAGAAGGUCUUCGGAUUGUAAAGCACUUUUGGCAGGGACGAUGAUGACGGUACCUGCAGAAUAAGCCCCGGCUAACUUCGUGCCAGCAGCCGCGGUAAU
rnacentral:rRNA from 1 species